UCUGAGAACUGGAAUUGUCAGACUUUGUUUCAGAGCUAUCGUUACAGUAUAUAAGCCAAUAUAAAUCAAGUAAUUGCCAUUGUUGUCUUUCUAGAAGGACCUCACUAGAGAUAUAUGCACUUACAUGGGAUAGUUGUGAAUAAACUUAAGCCAGAUGGAUUUUUAAGGUCCCAGCUGACCAAAUGACGGGAAACAUGAUCUUAUCUCUGUGAAAGGAGGAUCCAGGGAACUACAGGCCUGUCGGCCUGACCUCAGUGCCGGGAAAGUCGUGGAGCAGAUUAUCCUGAGUGCCAUCAUGCAAGAUGUGCAGGACAAUCAGGGGAUCAGGCCCCUCCAGCAUGGGUUUAGAAAAGGCAACUAAAGACACACGUGAGGAAAAUGAAGAGUCCAAGAUCAUUUUUCAGUAAGGCAAUAUAUGUAUUAUUGUUUGAAAUUCAUGCCUCAAACUAUAUGUAGAAGUCAUCAUCACUGUAGAAGACAAAUAUCCUUGACCAUGAAGGAAAGAUUUAAUCUCCAAAAUGUAUGGGGUUUUUGUCCUAAAUCAGAUGUCAGCUGCAGUUCUUCUUAUUUACCCAUUGUCCAUUAGUUCCUAGUAAUUCAGUCUGUAUGAAAUCAUUUUCUUUGAAGUCUUUUGCCAACUCAUUAAAUGUUCUAAACUUUCCAGUACAUGGAUUUAUGAGCAAUUAAGAAUUUCUCAGACUCAGUAGUCAGGAAAUAUAGCUCAUUAUCUGUUGCAAAGGCAUUUGGCCAAUUUAAGGAGAUUCUUCAAUUGAAAAAAUGUUGUUUCCUAACAGUGUUACCCAGUUUCUUGCUUUUCAGAUAUUUUGUCCCAAACAUUUUCUUUCACACCCUACAAUGUCUCUAAUCUGAACAGCUCUUCCAUUGAAAAAAAUUGCUAUAUUUUACCUAGCUGUUUUCAAACGGUAAAUUUACUGAUCUCGUCUAAAGGCUCUGAUAUAAUGGGUGGAAAAACUCCAUUGUCUGAAUGCAGGUCUUGAGACAUAUAUUCAGACAAAUGUUUUACCUUAUUGCCCUUUUCUCCUUAUUCCUGGCAAUAUAUACACAGUAUGUUUGUGCUAACGUAUUUUCUCCAAAAUCCAAGGUCCUGCAGUUCCUUCUGCCAACUCUGCCAUUUAUUCGAAAUCUCUAUUCUUAAAUGGCAAUUUUCACUUUAGACCUACAGGAAAUGUAUCUGAGUGUGUCACUAUAUAAAGUUAGAUUUUCUGAAUCUUUCAUCUUCUACCCCUUGGAUAAUUUUCCUACUUGUGUUAAAGUAGCGUCAUUUCUGUUGAAAGACUGCUCUUUUUGAAAUUUGUCACCAGGUGGUUCUCUAAACUUUAUUAGCAGUUUCUAGCAGUACCUUUUAUUUACUGGACAAUUCUUCAAUGCUUUAAGUUGCUGGUGGUGUUAGCAAAGCAAUCACACAAGCAGUUUUGAAAGAUCUAUUAUCUGGGUGCAAUUUUUUGUGAAUGGACUUGCUGCUCAGACUAUGUUCAGUGCUGUUUGUAAAAGCAUCACAAAAAAACAGUGUCUGAGUUAAGACCUGUACAAAACCAUUUAAGUAAUGCUAGAGUCCAGCCAGGGCCAGCUCUCAGCUCUCUGAUAUGAGCAAAAGAUGAAGUCAUGGUGCAGAGCAAAUCACAUGUGCUACUUGGUCACGCACAAAUCUCAGUAACGUCAUUCAUGUACAGAAGUGCUUGCAGUUUCAAAUCCGAUUCAUGGUGAAAGUAUUUACUAUGCUUAUCCUCAGUUCUAGGUAAAAAUCUCAGACAUCUUUAGGAAAAAAAGUGAAACCCCCCCAACUUCUCUUUGGCUUAAAACAAAUCACAAUUAACCAAUUUAUUAAACUAUUUUCUUCGGUGCUUCCUGAACAGAAUUUCUGGUUCUUUGUAACCCUUAAACUACUGCCUGCCUGAGUCUUCUUUAGAAGGUUGGUGAAAAAUGUCGUUGUAUUUAUUUCCAGAAUGUGUUUUAAACUGUUGACUAGUACCUACACUUUAACUUUUUCCAACACCAUGCCAGACCACCUUAGGCUUCCCCAAAUCUACAGGUAUCUGUAUGCAAGAUGUAGCUAUAACCUUUUACUAAAAGCCAUCAAAUUUUUAAUUUCAUCAGAGUUGCAUUGUGCACAGGCAGCUAAUCACUAUUAAAUUAAUAAAUAAAUAAAGAGAGGAAAAUAAAAUACAUUUAGUCUAUUUAUAGACAAACGUCCAAAACAAAAAAGGAACAAAAAGAUUUCACGGUUUAUUUUCCUUCUCUAUACGUGACAAGGAGCCUGCCUUCUGUCACAAACAGCUCCUACUUCUAAAGGCUAUUGAUAGGAAAUAUUAACAGCAUUUUACCACUCUUCUUGAUAGUAUUGUCAUACAUAUAUCAUAUAUACAUACUGAC